UGUGGGAGCGGGCUUGCUCGCGAAAGCGCUGUGUCAGACAAAUUGAUGUAUCUGACCCUCCGCCUUCGCGAGCAAGCCCGCUCCCACA
rnacentral:antisense_RNA from 1 species